rnacentral:lncRNA from 1 species
CUGAAGGGCUUCUAUCAAGGGUCAUGUGACACCAUGUUGGCCUGGGAAAGUAAAAUCCUGAAUAAGGUCUUAAAGAGGAAGAAAGAAAAUACUAAACAAAAAAUAUUUUAUCCCCCCCAAAUAUAUUUUAGGUAUAAUGGCUAUAGUAUAAAAAAUUACUGCAGUAUGACUAUUAUUCAGUGGUAUUAGAUAAAGAAAAUUCAUGUUGAAAUGUGCAAGAGCCUCCAAAUCUAUAGGCUAAUAGAGAAAGGAUGCUCUAACUAACCAACCGGAUUCAUUUUCUUACAUUGUAUGUACCUGGCUUUCUGAAAGAGGCAUGGGUCCAUUCCUUGCAGAAGAGAUGGUUCAUUGAAUAGUGGCAUUUACAGUAAAGGAAAUGCCUUUGUUUUCUAACAGUUUGCAUCAAAUCUCUCAUGCCAGGGGAAAAGAGGCACCAUGUGAAGGCGGGCCUGAGGCGUGCCAAGGGCAGUCUCCUCCCUUUGCCUGCCCUCUUCCUCCUCUGUGUUUCUCACAGGCGCAGCUGUACCCCAGGGUGCAGUUUCUCUGUAGCUCCAUGCUUUCCGUAAUCCUAGCUGCCUGCUCCAGCUGCUGACAGGACUGCCAUCUUCUGCAACCUCCAGGAUCAGGAAAAAGAAAGAGGCCUCGAAGCUUCCAAAUCACUUCCUCUUGGCCCAGGAACAAUGGCUGCCAUACCAGAAGAAGGCUCUUGUGUCAACUUCAAAGAAAUGAUGUUUAUUGACAACAC